CAGCAGCCGCGGUAAUACGGGGGGAGCAAGCGUUGUUCGGAUUUACUGGGCGUAAAGGGCGCGUAGGCGGCCAGCGCAAGUCAGUUGUGAAAUCUCCGAGCUUAACUCGGAAAGGUCAACUGAUACUGCGCGGCUAGAGUGCGGAAGGGGCAACUGGAAUUCUUGGUGUAGCGGUGAAAUGCGUAGAUAUCAAGAGGAACACCUGCGGCGAAGGCGGGUUGCUGGGCCGACACUGACGCUGAGGCGCGAAAGCUAGGGGAGCGAACGGGAUUAGAUACCCCGGUAGUCCUAGCCUUAAACGAUGAAUGCUUGGUGUCUGGGGUUAUAAAGUCCCCGGGUGCCGUCGCUAACGCUUUAAGCAUUCCGCCUGGGGAGUACGGUCGCAAGACUGAAACUCAAAGGAAUUGACGG
rnacentral:rRNA from 1 species